rnacentral:rRNA from 1 species
GUGUGUGUUAGUGGAAGCGUCUGGAAAGGCGCGCGAUACAGGGUGACAGCCCCGUACACAAAAAUGCACAUAUUGUGAGCUCGAUGAGUAGGGCGGGACACGUGGUAUCCUGUCUGAAUAUGGGGGGACCAUCCUCCAAGGCUAAAUACUCCUGACUGACCGAUAGUGAACCAGUACCGUGAGGGAAAGGCGAAAAGAACCCCGGCGAGGGGAGUGAAAAAGAACCUGAAACCGUGUACGUACAAGCAGUGGGAGCCUCUUAAUGGGGUGACUGCGUACCUUUUGUAUAAUGGGUCAGCGACUUAUAUUCUGUAGCAAGGUUAACCGAAUAGGGGAGCCGAAGGGAAACCGAGUCUUAACUGGGCGUUAAGUUGCAGGGUAUAGACCCGAAACCCGGUGAUCUAGCCAUGGGCAGGUUGAAGGUUGGGUAACACUAACUGGAGGACCGAACCGACUAAUGUUGAAAAAUUAGCGGAUGACUUGUGGCUGGGGGUGAAAGGCCAAUCAAACCGGGAGAUAGCUGGUUCUCCCCGAAAGCUAUUUAGGUAGCGCCUCGUGAAUUCAUCUCCGGGGGUAGAGCACUGUUUCGGCAAGGGGGUCAUCCCGACUUACCAACCCGAUGCAAACUGCGAAUACCGGAGAAUGUUAUCACGGGAGACACACGGCGGGUGCUAACGUCCGUCGUGAAGAGGGAAACAACCCAGACCGCCAGCUAAGGUCCCAAAGUCAUGGUUAAGUGGGAAACGAUGUGGGAAGGCCCAGACAGCCAGGAUGUUGGCUUAGAAGCAGCCAUCAUUUAAAGAAAGCGUAAUAGCUCACUGGUCGAGUCGGCCUGCGCGGAAGAUGUAACGGGGCUAAACCAUGCACCGAAGCUGCGGCAGCGACACUAUGUGUUGUUGGGUAGGGGAGCGUUCUGUAAGCCUGUGAAGGUGGCCUGUGAGGGUUGCUGGAGGUAUCAGAAGUGCGAAUGCUGACAUAAGUAACGAUAAAGCGGGUGAAAAGCCCGCUCGCCGGAAGACCAAGGGUUCCUGUCCAACGUUAAUCGGGGCAGGGUGAGUCGACCCCUAAGGCGAGGCCGAAAGGCGUAGUCGAUGGGAAACAGGUUAAUAUUCCUGUACUUGGUGUUACUGCGAAGGGGGGACGGAGAAGGCUAUGUUGGCCGGGCGACGGUUGUCCCGGUUUAAGCGUGUAGGCUGGUUUUCCAGGCAAAUCCGGAAAAUCAAGGCUGAGGCGUGAUGACGAGGCACUACGGUGCUGAAGCGACAAAUGCCCUGCUUCCAGGAAAAGCCUCUAAGCAUCAGGUAACAUCAAAUCGUACCCCAAACCGACACAGGUGGUCAGGUAGAGAAUACCAAGGCGCUUGAGAGAACUCGGGUGAAGGAACUAGGCAAAAUGGUGCCGUAACUUCGGGAGAAGGCACGCUGAUAUGUAGGUGAAGCGACUUGCUCGUGGAGCUGAAAUCAGUCGAAGAUACCAGCUGGCUGCAACUGUUUAUUAAAAACACAGCACUGUGCAAACACGAAAGUGGACGUAUACGGUGUGACGCCUGCCCGGUGCCGGAAGGUUAAUUGAUGGGGUUAGCGGUAACGCGAAGCUCUUGAUCGAAGCCCCGGUAAACGGCGGCCGUAACUAUAACGGUCCUAAGGUAGCGAAAUUCCUUGUCGGGUAAGUUCCGACCUGCACGAAUGGCGUAAUGAUGGCCAGGCUGUCUCCACCCGAGACUCAGUGAAAUUGAACUCGCUGUGAAGAUGCAGUGUACCCGCGGCAAGACGGAAAGACCCCGUGAACCUUUACUAUAGCUUGACACUGAACAUUGAGCCUUGAUGUGUAGGAUAGGUGGGAGGCUUUGAAGUGUGGACGCCAGUCUGCAUGGAGCCGACCUUGAAAUACCACCCUUUAAUGUUUGAUGUUCUAACGUGGGCCCCUAAUCGGGGUUGCGGACAGUGUCUGGUGGGUAGUUUGACUGGGGCGGUCUCCUCCUAAAGAGUAACGGAGGAGCACGAAGGUUGGCUAAUCCUGGUCGGACAUCAGGAGGUUAGUGCAAUGGCAUAAGCCAGCUUGACUGCGAGCGUGACGGCGCGAGCAGGUGCGAAAGCAGGUCAUAGUGAUCCGGUGGUUCUGAAUGGAAGGGCCAUCGCUCAACGGAUAAAAGGUACUCCGGGGAUAACAGGCUGAUACCGCCCAAGAGUUCAUAUCGACGGCGGUGUUUGGCACCUCGAUGUCGGCUCAUCACAUCCUGGGGCUGAAGUAGGUCCCAAGGGUAUGGCUGUUCGCCAUUUAAAGUGGUACGCGAGCUGGGUUUAGAACGUCGUGAGACAGUUCGGUCCCUAUCUGCCGUGGGCGCUGGAGAACUGAGGGGGGCUGCUCCUAGUACGAGAGGACCGGAGUGGACGCAUCACUGGUGUUCGGGUUGUCAUGCCAAUGGCACUGCCCGGUAGCUAAAUGCGGAAGAGAUAAGUGCUGAAAGCAUCUAAGCACGAAACUUGCCCCGAGAUGAGUUCUCCCUGACUCCUUGAGAGUCCUGAAGGAACGUUGAAGACGACGACGUUGAUAGGCCGGGUGUGUAAGCGCAGCGAUGCGUUGAGCUAACCGGUACUAAUGAACCGUGAGGCUUAACCUUACAACGCCGAAG